rnacentral:misc_RNA from 1 species
AAACCAUAUGAAUCUCUGUACACAAAUUCCAGACAUUUGGACUCGUAAUUGGUCAAAUACGAAAUAAAUUGUCUUUUUGUACAAAUUUGGUCAUCUUAUCUCUAAUAUUAGAGGUUCUUUACAAAGCAUAAUAUAAAUGUAUGCUUGGUUUUAAAAUGCACAAGGAUUUGUUGCAAUAAUACCCUUGGCCUAUUUACACUAUUUUCUCCAAUUUAAAUAACAGUUCUAUAAUACCUCCCAAGUCAGUUUUCUGUGACACGAUUUCCUAAUUAGUCCAUUCCAAAAUAUGACACAUAUAUUUGG